GAUGAACGCUGGCGGCGUGCCUAAUACAUGCAAGUCGAGCGAACGGACGAGAAGCUUGCUUCUCUGAUGUUAGCGGCGGACGGGUGAGUAACACGUGGAUAACCUACCUAUAAGACUGGGAUAACUUCGGGAAACCGGAGCUAAUACCGGAUAAUAUUUUGAACCGCAUGGUUCAACAGUGAAAGACGGUCUUGCUGUCACUUAUAGAUGGAUCCGCGCUGCAUUAGCUAGUUGGUAAGGUAACGGCUUACCAAGGCAACGAUGCAUAGCCGACCUGAGAGGGUGAUCGGCCACACUGGAACUGAGACACGGUCCAGACUCCUACGGGAGGCAGCAGUAGGGAAUCUUCCGCAAUGGACGAAAGCCUGACGGAGCAACGCCGCGUGAGUGAUGAAGGUCUUCGGAUCGUAAAACUCUGUUAUUAGGGAAGAACAUAUGUGUAAGUAAAUGUGCACAUCUUGACGGUACCUAAUCAGAAAGCCACGGCUAACUACGUG
rnacentral:rRNA from 1 species